rnacentral:rRNA from 1 species
UACGUAGGGGGCGAGCGUUGUCCGGAGUUACUGGGCGUAAAGGGCGUGCAGGCGGUGCGGUAAGUUUAGCGUGACAGUCUCCGGCUUAACUGGAGAAGGCCGCUGAAAACUGCUGGACUUGAGGGCCAGAGAGGGACAUAGAAUUCCGGGUGGAGUGGUGAAAUGCGUAGAUAUCCGGAGGAAUACCAAAGGCGAAGGCAGUGUCCUGGCUGGCAACUGACGCUGAGGCGCGAAAGCUAGGGGAGCGAAACAGG